CUUAACACAUGCAAGUCGAACGAUGAAGCGGUGCUUGCACCGUGGAUUAGUGGCGAACGGGUGAGUAAUACGUGAGUGACCUACCUUUGACUCUGGGAUAAGCCUGGGAAACUGGGUCUAAUACCGGAUACGACCAAUCUCUGCAUGGGGUGUUGGUGGAAAGCGUUAUGGAGUGGUUUUAGAUGGGCUCACGGCCUAUCAGCUUGUUGGUGAGGUAAUGGCUUACCAAGGCGACGACGGGUAGCCGGCCUGAGAGGGUGACCGGCCACACUGGGACUGAGACACGGCCCAGACUCCUACGGGAGGCAGCAGUGGGGAAUAUUGCACAAUGGGCGCAAGCCUGAUGCAGCGACGCCGCGUGAGGGAUGACGGCCUUCGGGUUGUAAACCUCUGUUAGCAUCGAAGAAGCGAAAGUGACGGUAGGUGCAGAGAAAGCGCCGGCUAACUACGUGCCAGCAGCCGCGGUAAUACGUAGGGCGCGAGCGUUGUCCGGAAUUAUUGGGCGUAAAGAGCUUGUAGGCGGUUGGUCGCGUCUGCUGUGAAAGGCCGGGGCUUAACUCCGGUUUUGCAGUGGGUACGGGCUAACUAGAGUGCAGUAGGGGAGACUGGAAUUCCUGGUGUAGCGGUGGAAUGCACAGAUAUCAGGAGGAACACCGAUGGCGAAGGCAGGUCUCUGGGCUGUAACUGACGCUGAGAAGCGAAAGCAUGGGGAGCGAACAGGAUUAGAUACCCUGGUAGUCCAUGCCGUAAACGUUGGGCACUAGGUGUGGGGGACAUUCCACGUUUUCCGCGCCGUAGCUAACGCAUUAAGUGCCCC
rnacentral:rRNA from 1 species